CCUACGGGAGGCAGCAGUGGGGAAUAUUGGACAAUGGGCGAAAGCCUGAUCCAGCCAUGCCGCGUGUGUGAAGAAGGUCUUCGGAUUGUAAAGCACUUUAAGUUGGGAGGAAGGGCAUUAAGCUAAUACCUUACUGUUUUGACGUUACCGACAGAAUAAGCACCGGCUAACUUCGUGCCAGCAGCCGCGGUAAU
rnacentral:rRNA from 1 species